GACGAACGCUGGCGGCGUGCUUAACACAUGCAAGUCGUACGGUAAGGCCCUUUCGGGGGUACACGAUUGGCUAACGGGUGAGUAACACGUGAGUAACCUGCCCGCAACUUUGGGAGAACUCUAGUAAACUGGUGCUAAUACUUGAUAUGUACUCCUGCCGCAUGGUGGGGGGUGGAAAGCUCGGUCGGUUGGGGAUGGACUCGCGGCCUAUCAGCUUGUUGGUGGGGGGGUGGCCUGCCAAGGCGGCGACGGGUAGGCGGCCUGAGAGGGUGGACGGCCAACUUGGGAAUGAGAUACGGCCCAGACUCCUACGGGAGGCAGCAGGGGGGAAUAUUGCACCAUGGGCGCAAGCCUGAUGCAGCAACGCCGCGUGCGGGAUGACGGCCUUCGGGUUGUAAACCGCUUUCCGCAGGGACGAAGCUUUUUGUGACGGUAACUGCAGAAGAAGCACCGGCUAACUACGUG
rnacentral:rRNA from 1 species